GGAUUCCCGUCGAGAAAGAACUAGCCAUUCACUCGUAGCGAGUCUUGGAGGGCUAAUGGUAACAUUAGCCUUUAAGCGUAGACAGAGUUAGGUGGCGGGCCGAAAGCCAAAUGGUUGAAGGGAUUGAGCUCCAUAAUGUUAGUAAAUCGAGAGGGCUGAUGCCUUAAGCACAGCAGAAAGCUACAUUUUAUCCAUCGUUAAAGGCAAGAAGGAUAGAACCUCUCUGGAGUCAGAGACCU
rfam:Bacillus sp. FJAT-27997 Scaffold1, whole genome shotgun sequence.